rnacentral:rRNA from 1 species
UACGGAGGAUGCGAGCGUUAUCCGGAUUUAUUGGGUUUAAAGGGUGCGUAGGCGGAGUGCCAAGUCAGCGGUAAAAAUUCGGGGCUCAACCCCGUCGUGCCGUUGAAACUGGCGCCCUUGAGUGGGCGAGAAGUAUGCGGAAUGCGUGGUGUAGCGGUGAAAUGCAUAGAUAUCACGCAGAACCCCGAUUGCGAAGGCAGCAUACCGGCGCCCGACUGACGCUGAAGCGCGAAAGCGUGGGUAGCAAACAGG